rnacentral:rRNA from 1 species
AUUGCCUCAGUAACGGCGAGUGAAGCGGCAAGAGCUCAAAUUUGAAAGCUGGCCCCCAGCGGGGUCCGCAUUGUAAUUUGCAGAGGAUGCUUCGGGCACGGCCCCCGUCUAAGUGCCCUGGAACGGGCUGUCGGAGAGGGUGAGAAUCCCGUCUGGGACGGGGUGUCCGGGUCCGUGUGAAGCUCCUUCGACGAGUCGAGUUGUUUGGGAAUGCAGCUCUAAAUGGGUGGUAAAUUUCAUCUAAAGCUAAAUACUGGCCGGAGACCGAUAGCGCACAAGUAGAGUGAUCGAAAGAUGAAAAGCACUUUGAAAAGAGAGUUAAACAGCACGUGAAAUUGUUGAAAGGGAAGCGCUUGCGAUCAGACUCGCCCGCAGGGUUCAACCGGCACUCGUGCCGGUGUACUUCCCUGCGGGCGGGCCAGCGUCAGUUCGGGUGGCCGGUCAAAGGCCCCGGGAAUGUGUCGCCCUCCGGGGCGUCUUAUAGCCCGGGGUGCCAUGCGGCCCGCCUGGACUGAGGAACGCGCUUUGGCACGGACGCUGGCGUAAUGGUCGUAAGCGGCCCGUCUU